CCAUGAGCGGAGCCACAGCCACUGCGGCUGAGCUCAGAGCCUUCUGUGGGGUCUGCAGGGGCCAGGCCAGCUGCCCCCUGGGAGUGUUUGAAGAAUGCAGUUCGUUUGUAUAAGAAAGACUUUUCUCUAGAGUCAUUCAUCUUGAUGAUCAAGGAUGUUUAACAGCUUCAGGCUUUCCUGGUGUGUUUUAUGGAGGAGAAUGUAGUCUACCUUAAUGAGUGAUUUAUGUGGGCUUGAGAAGACUCCGCAUUCUGUCCAUUGUUGGAUAAAGUCUUCUGUAGAUGUCAUUUAUAUCAAGUUAAUUGAUUGUGCUGCUGUGUUCAACUGAAUUCUGCUUUUUUUCUGCCUGGUGGAUCUGUCUGUUUCUGAAAGAGGAGUUUUGAAGUCUACAACUAUAAGAUGCUGAAUGACCAUAGAAUGGUCUACAUUGAGUCCUUCAGCAACUUUGUGUAGUUAGUUGUAAGAGGAUCAGCUUCAGUGAUUGCUCUCAGUUGGUCCUUCUCAACUUCCAAUAGCUGGAGACUAUACUCCUCAUCUUCAGAUACUACAAGAUGAUCCGGACAAAUUACCUUUAUUUCAUGCCCAAGCCAAGUAGCCAUGAUUUCUUCAAGGAGUCCUAGUUUCUUUACAAAUUGAAUUAGAAAUAAAGAUUGGGUACCAGAUCUACUCAUUGGGGCAUCUGUUGAUUUGGGGCCUUGUUAGCUGACACAGCAAAUAAAUAUAUCUGUGUAUACUACCACACACAUAUAAAUGUAUCUAUAAAUAUUUCCUCAUGUGUUCAUGUGUAUCUUUAUUAAGUUAAAUAUGAAUUCCCCUAAUGUCUCUAAUACCACCAGAGUCUAAUCCAGCACCACGAGUCAGUCUCCCCAUUCCCUCUACUUCUACGUAACCUCUCGUUCUAACUGUGAGACAUUUGGCCUCCUUUACUUAAUAAUUGAGUUCCAACUUACAUGUGCAGUGGCUUCAGAAUAAUCUAUACCCCUAUGGUGAACAACAUUACCAACUAAAGUACAGUGCUAAUGGACACUCCUUUGGCUUUUAGAGUCAGAAUUUCCACUUAUUUCCUAAGUUACUUAGGUAAGCUCCUUUCCCCACCUACUCCCUUCAGUGAGAUUAUUUUAUACAUUUGUUAUGCAUUAAUCUUAUUUUGUCUGCAUUUCUCCAUGGGAUCCCCCAGCCUAUGAACUAGAUUUUUAAUUUUCAAACAUUUAAGUUCACUCUUUGAGUUAUAAGGUUCUAUAGGGCUUCAAAAACAGUAUGAUAUACCCACUAUUACCAUAUC